GCACAUCUCUCAUUUUACACUUGUGGCAUGAUCUUGCAGGGCAGUUUGUCCUGUUUAACACAGAAGCCAAAGCUUUCUGGAAGAUUCCACCAAAGAAUCAAGAAAAUAGAGGAACAGCCCUCUCAGCUUUGGUGUAUUCCCAAGCAAAACCUGCUGCUGUUUCUCCCCCAGCCAUGCUGCCUGCUUCCUGCUCGGGACUUGUGAUCUUGUUGAUAUUGAGAGGGACCAAUGGAGACUCGGUGACCCAGACAGAAGACCCCAUAACCCUCCCUGAGGGAGCACCUCUGACCCUGAACUGCACCUACCAGAGCAGCUAUUCAGUUUCCCUUUUCUGGUAUGUCCAGUAUCAAAACAAAGAGCCUGAGCUCCUCUUGAAAAGCUCAUCAGAAAACCAGGGGGGGGACAGCAGAGGCUUUCAGGCCAAUCAUGUUAACAGUGACAGCUCCUUCCACCUGCAGAAACCCUCAGUGCAAAUGUCUGACUCAGCCAUGUACUACUGUGCUCUGAGAGACACAGUGAAGGGGACUAUAGGGGCAGCUGAGCACAAACCCAGAGGGUGCAGGUGGGUCUGGCUGUGGCAGCCCUGGGAGAGAGCGUUACUUUCUCUCUCCAGUGUCCUGUGCUGGAGGCUUCCUCAAAGUGCUUCCAGCUCUGAUGCCUCAGAGCCAGGGAACCUUGGAAUUCUUGGAUUAGUCUGCAGAGAGGAAUUAGGAUGGGGACAGUGUAAAGAGGAACCCAAGUUCUGUUCUCCAAAAAUGCUUCUAUUUUCAGCCCAGCCUUCUUUCCCCUAGAUGGCAUAUAAUUCC